AAUGAUUAUACAAAUGUAAACUUCAAAAUGCAAAUGAGAGAACAUAUGGCACAUAUUCUUAAAUUUGUUAAUAUCAUAAUUAUUUUUCUUUUCAUAUUCAUAGUUGUAACAGAUGGUAUCGUUGUAACUGGUGGAAAUAUCAAAUGCCAAUCUAAUGAAGAAUGUCAUAUAAAAAUGACUACUUGCAUUCGUCCUAAAACGUCAAAGUGUGUAGCAGGGACAUGUAAAUGUUGGUAAUAGUAACAAUAAAGUUAAAAAAUAAUUCAAUGUAUUUGCAACUAUAAUGUUGGUUCUUUUAUAGUUUUCUCAAGCUUCAACCUGGUUUUUCUAAACCUUCGAAUAAAUUUGAUACACUCAAAUACUUAUUAAUGUCAAUGUUGUUUCCUUAGUUCGCUUUUGGUUUGUUAUGAUAAAUUGACUUUGAUGAAAUAAA